UGUGCAGCGGGCCGGCGCCCCGCCCUGGUAGGUGGGUCCGAGGGCGCCCUUCCUCUUCCUGGCAG
rnacentral:miRNA from 1 species